AAUUUGUGCUCCACGUGGGCCGGAUGUGUGCUCCCUGCCCCUGUCAGACCCCUGGGCUUAUGUCCUCCCCUGGCUCCAUCUUGCUGACAGCCAGUGGGGCAGCCCUGCCACCAAGCACCAAGCACCCCCAGGCCUGGCCCCCAUGCAGGGGCAGCUGUUGAAAGGCUGUGAUGUGCCCAGAGACUGCAGUUUAUGAUGAAUGCUCUCAACGGUGGCCUCAGGGAUGGCUUGGUGGGGCAGGGAGCUGGGUGACACUCACUGGUACUAAGAAGGCAGUGUCUCCUUAUCCUGCCUAGGUAACCCCAGGGGCUUUCUUCAAGGAGGAUGCUCCUGAAGUGCCCGCUGGUCUGAGCAACAAGGCCAUAGUGGAACCCUGCUUCCACCCAGGAAGGACAGCCUGAGGGCUCACCGAUCUCCAUCUGCUUACUGGGCCCUGUCCCUCCAGCGACAGUGUCCACAGCACACGUGCAGAACUGACCCCGAGGAGUGCUGAGCAGGACCGACUUGCUGGCGCAACCACCUCACUGGGCAUGGUGACUGCAUUAUUGUAUGCCACUGCGAUUGUACUGUAGCUAGAGGAUGUGCUCUCUCCUGUGCAUCACAUACAGAGUCUGCAGUGCUACUCAUUUGCAAGAAAAGUGCCGCAUAUGUGUGCACAAUGGUCUGAUUGUGAAAGACUUGCAAGCCUUCCCCUUCCUGGAGAUCCCGAAGGCCACAUUUGUCAUAUAGUCACUUUGCUAUGAGUGUGUAAUUAAAUGUAAAGCACUUUGGGAUGUUCAGCUGUAUAAAGUAUUGCUAUUGAAAUGCAAGUUGUUUUUUUCUACAGACAAGGAAAAAAAAAAAACAAACACAGAAAACAAAUGAAAAGGUUUCUAGGGAUAAAAAUGUGAACACUGGUAGAUAAAUAAA
rnacentral:lncRNA from 1 species